GUAGUUCGAGUCCGUGCUACAGGACACGCUGGCGGCGUGCUCCAAAACAUGCAAGUCGAACGGAGUUAAUUUAGCUUGCUAAAUUAACUUAGUGGCGGACUGGUGAGUAACGCGUGAGUAAUCUGCCUAUUACAGGGGGAUAACAGUUGGAAACGACUGCUAAUACCGCAUAAGACCACGGGAAGGCAUCUUCAAGGGGUCAAAGGGAUACUGGUAAUAGAUGAGCUUGCGUAUCAUUAGCUAGAUGGUGAGGGUAAAGGCCCACCAUGGCGACGAUGAUUAGCCGAUCUGAGAGGAUGACCGGCCACACUGGAACUGAGAUACGGUCCAGACUCCUACGGGAGGCAGCAGUUAGGAAUAUUGGGCAAUGGAGGAAACUCUGACCCAGCAACGCCGCGUGAAGGAAGAAGGUUUUUCGGAUUGUAAACUUCUGAUCUUGGGGGAAAAAGAAAGUGAUGGUACCCAAGGAGAAAGCCACGGCUAACUACGUA
rnacentral:rRNA from 1 species